GGAGCUUUAGACACCAACCAACCACGAAAAGCGACCCUGAUUGGAGCCCCAAACAACGUGAUUCUGGCAUAAGUGUCUUCGGUUGGGGCGACCACGGGAGAUAGCACAGCUCCCGAGUGGAUGGGGGACACCCUAAAACCCAGAGCCACAGCUCUAAGUCACAAAACAUUUGACCAAUAAUGAUCCGGCUUAAUGCCGACCAACGGACCAAGUUACCCUAGGGAUAACAGCGCAAUCCUCUCCCAGAGUCCAUAUCGACGAGGGGGUU
rnacentral:rRNA from 1 species